rnacentral:rRNA from 1 species
GACGAACGCUGGCGGCGUGCUUAACACAUGCAAGUCGAACGGAAAGGCCCUGCUUGCAGGGUCCUCGAGUGGCGAACGGGUGAGUAACACGUGGGUGAUCUGCCCUGCACUUCGGGAUAAGCCUGGGAAACUGGGUCUAAUACCGGAUAGGAGCCAUUUUUAGUGUGAUGGUUGGAAAGUUUUUUCGGUGUAGGAUGAGCUCGCGGCCUAUCAGCUUGUUGGUGGGGUAAUGGCCUACCAAGGCGGCGACGGGUAGCCGGCCUGAGAGGGUGGACGGCCACAUUGGGACUGAGAUACGGCCCAGACUCCUACGGGAGGAAGCAGUGGGGAAGAUUGCACAAGGGGCGCAAGCCUGAUGCAGCGACGCCGCGGGGGGGAUGACGGCCUUCGGGUUGUAAACUCCUUGCGCUAGGGACGAAGCUUUUUGUGACGGUACCUAGAUAAGAAGCACCGGCUAACUACGUG